AUCCCAACCGAAAACUGGUGGUUGCAAAGGAGCCUUUUUCCUCCACCAUCUCUCACCCUCAGCUCCUCUAUCGGAUAUAGCAGCCAGCAGAGCUGUUACACCUGUUCUCAUUCUCCACCUCCUAGACACAGAGUAUAAUUUCACUGCCUUUUUUCACUGGAACACAGGCAGGUCAUAUGCCUUGCAUUGGCCAGUGGGGAGUGAGUGAAAGUGCUUGCAUCAUCUCCGGCCGAUCCAUUUACUUCUCAGUGCCAGAUAGAGCAGCACCCCUGAUCCCUAGCAUAGUGGUCCUGGAACCAUAACUGGUGAUGAAGCGUCUGUCAGCCUGGAGCCCUCAGCGAUUUCAAGGAGCAGAGCCCCCACUAAACACACACUGGACAGAUAAUGCAAAUGAUGGAACAAUAUUCAGUGCUAGAAAGAAGUGAGCUACCAAUCAUGGAAAGACACAGAGAGCCUUAAAUGCAUAUUACUAAGUGAGAGAAGCCAAUCUGAAAAGGCUACAUACUGUAUGAUUCCAGUUAUAUGAGAUUUUGAAAAAGGCAAAACUAUGGAGACCAUGAAAAGGUCGGUGUGUUCUAGGGGUUGGGGGGCGGGAGGGAUAAACAGGCAGAACACAAAGAAAUUUUUGGGCACUGAAACUAUUCUGCACAGUAGUGCAAUGGUGGAGGCAUAUCAGUGUAUGUGUCAAACCCCAUAGAAUGUACAGUACCAAGAAGGUAAACUAUAGACUUUGGUGAUAAUGAUGUGUCCAUGUAGGUUCAUGGGUGAUAACAAACGUACUGCUCUGGUGGGAGAUGUUGAUGGUAAGGAUGAUUGUGCAUGUGUGGGGUCUAUGGGAACUUUUUGCACCUUACUCAAUUUUGCUGUGAACUUAAAACUGCUCUAAAAAGCCAAGUCUACUGAAAUAACAACAGGAACAUUCUCUUUCAUGCUUCUGGAGGAGAUGAUACCUUCUUGGGAGCGAGUCUGAGGGGUGAAGCUGAGCACUCCAGUUCUCUUACGGGGGGAGCCUGUAGUGUGAAAUGAGACACUAGGGUCCAGUGGUGGCCAUGAUGGUGAAGAACAAGUGGGGUAACCUCCCAGUAGGGGAGGGAGGUGCUCAGAGUCAAGGAUGCUACCGGCUCAUCACUGCAACACGUGACCAAGAGUCAACCAGCUUUCACAAUGUCCCCUGGAAGUCAGUUGCCAAACCAAGGCUCUCCCAUGCCUGGGAAGGAGAAGAAAAUGGUUAAAAGACAGGAAGCAAAAGUGUCUCCAUUGGGCAGCCACCGAAUUUACCAGCCAUCAAAACCUUUGCCUUUGGGGAGCUUGGCUAGCUCAGUCGGUUAAGUAUCUGCCUUUGGCUCAGGUCAUGAUCUCACGGUUCGUGGGUUUGAGCCCCGCAUGGGGCUCUGUGCUGUCCGCACAGAGCCCUCUUUGGAUCCUCUGUCCACCUCUCUCUGCUCCUUUCCUGCUCACUCUCUCUCUCUCUCUCUCAAAAAUAAAUAAGUAAAUAAAUAAAUAAAUAAAAUUAAAAAACCCUCUACCUUUGAUACAGCCUGGGAAUAUUUUAAGAGAAUAUCUGUUGAUACUUAAAAUAAAUUAAAAUAAAAGGGUCAGCCUAGUUCAUGAAUAGCUGUGAAAUAAUAAUCAAGAGCCUAGCUUAUGUUUCAAGAAGGAAGCUGAAAUCUGCUGGCCUAGUGUUUAGAUGCUAGAAACAUGCUAAUGGUAAUACUAGUAGUCUUUGUAAUCAUAGUAAGUAACAAUAACAAUAAUAAUAUGUCAGUAACUGCUGAACCUCUCAGCUAUGGUUAGAGAUGUGUUGCUGUGCAGGUCUGGCCCGGGGGCAAAGUUUCUGGGCUUUCCUGUGGUUUUCCAGUUUUCCUCUGGACUGUAAACCCACCUUCAGCCCGGGAUGUGGUAUAAUUGACACUAUAGUGUAAACAAAUGUGAAUCCCUGUCAAUGUGAUCCCUGUUUUAGGGAGGCGCUGUCCAAAUCCUAUUUUGAUGGUGGAAUGCAAGGUAAAGCUGCUGAUGCUGGGCUUUAAGGUGGGAGGAGGAGUGGGGUGAGGGGUGGUAUUUGGGGGGGGUGCAGACUGUGUGAUGUUGAGGCUUAUUAGUGGCUCUUCCACAGCCCUUGAAACCAUACUUUAACAAGUGAAAAGCUUUGCAAGCUGUAAAGGACUAUUAGACGCCAAAACAAAUUACUUUUCUUAUUACAGGUGACCAGGAGCAGAUACUGAUGCCACAGGAAGAGCAGAGGGAGCUGGAGGAGUGAAGGUUGAGAGGAUUCUCCUUGCCACGGCCAGAAGUGGAAGCAGUAAUGUCUGCUCCAGUAGCCGUGGAAAGGGAACAUCCUCUGAAGGUUGCAUUUCUACCAAUGGGAUCCUGGGGUCCCACCUCCGGGCCUCUCAGCUGGGGUCCCCUCAUUUGGGAUCAGAGCGCACAGGUCAAGAAGACCUUCAUCUGAUGAAGAUGCUCCUUGCCAAACCAGUACAUUUCUCCAUGGGGCUAGGUGGCUGCAAUCCUAGUCAGGGUCAACUCUUGUUUAUGGAGAAUAGAAAACAGUGGACAGAAGAAGAUUAUCUGCAGAGGUGGAAUGGUGGAUUGCUUCUUCUCUGGGGCCACAUAAGAAGGCAAUUCCUGAGAGAGCAAUCAGACCCGAACAAAGUGCAUUCACCUUCUUGUUAACUGAUCAACAUCUGUUUCCAGAUGUUUCCCUGUGCUGGUUAUAUAGUUUGUGCUCAUUCACAUGCAAAGCCUCUCUCCGUGUAGCUCAGCAGAUGCCAUCAACAGUUCUGGUAGGGAUAGGCUCUGUCUGCAAGAGUCUCAUAACUGCAACCUAGCAAUGCUGGCACCAAAGUCAGAGUUCGGAACUCACUGCAAAAGGCACCCCCUCAGUGCACAGAUGAUGCAGUGGAUCAGUGUCUUUCUCACCAUGGUGACAGCAGUUGACAUGGAAACAGUUGUUCUCGCUUAUAUACAUAAUCAUUGCCCCUCACUCAGGCUUGCCAAAUGUUGAAAAUAUCUGUCUGCCCAGCAUUCAUUUCUUCCAUCUCUAGGAAAUGCACCAAGAUUAUCUUUUGGGAAAUCAUCUGGACUGAACAUCCAAACCACUUGUUUUGGAUAUUAUUUGUCCAAACUCAGCAUGUGACCAAUACCUGGUAAAACUGAGCCAUAGGAAUGUGUAACCAAGCCAUUCUGAGCCCAUGAGUGUCAGGUCCAGAUUUUGCUAGAACGAUUGGGAAAGUGACAGGGUUUUGCCUGACAUUAUAUGCUGAUGGAAAAGAAGCCUGUGGUGGCUGGAAGCUGUCUGUACCACCAGCUGUGUAGAACAUGCUUGAAAAUAAAGAAAAUUUAGAGGAAAAAAAGAGCUGAGGAGCUAAGAGAGACACAAUAUGCUGAUAAAAUAUGAACACCUGCAUGCAGCCUUACUUGAACUUAAAUACACCUUUUGACUUUUCAGGUAUAUGAACCAAUUUUUGCCCCUUUUGAUUAAGGAAGUUUGAGUUAGGCUUCUGUCACUUGCACCCACAAAAGUCCUGAUCAAUAUACAUGUUUUCUCCCUCUGUGGAGAUUUUCAUAGGAAUUGAGCAGAACUGGAGAUACACCUUUGAAAGUUUCAGCAUUUGAACAAUCUACACCUUUCUAGAAGCCCUGCUUCUGGAAAGAUAUCAGUUCAUCGGCACAUCACUAGUUGAUAAUUGCUACCUGCCAAGCAUUGUGUUGGACACCAUGGUGAGGAAGGAAGAAGCCAGCCAGGGGCCCUGUCCUCACAGAGUUUACAGCCUGGGCAGGAAGGCAGCAGUAAUACAAGUUAAAACUUAGAGCAGAAGUUCUCACCUUCAGGACCACAGCACACUGGUGAGUCACCAUAUAUUAUGAGGUAUGCCACAAAGAAUUUGUGACUCAUGAAGCUAAAGUACCAAUGUUGGCAGAUGAUUUAAAAAAUAAACAUGAAUUAGAGUAGAUUCAAGGUUAUCACAAUAAUAAUGUCAUAUUCAUUCAUCUGGUUCUUCAGAAUGCUUUCUUGAGUGGAGAGAAAGGGUUGACAUAAUAGCUAACACCCACAUACCUGUGUCUCCGGGAGUGUACUGUUCUCAAGGAUGCUAUCCAACCUGUGUCCCCAAGCAAUGACAAUAAUAUCCAAGUGCAGGGGCAGAAGGAGUGGCAACAACAGGAGAAUUGCCCGCACUUAUUGUGCACUGUUUAGGCACCAGGUACUGUGCUGGGAGCAUUAGAAGGUCUGUCUCAUUUGCUGUACAUGAGAAAGCUCUGAGUAAUUAUCCUCCCCGUCUGGCAGAUCAAAGAACAACCCAACGCUAAACAGUGUGACUCAAGCACAACCGGUCUUCCGAGGAGGGCAGAGAUCAGCAUAGGCUGGAUUCAUUGGAAAAGGGUCAAGGGAGGGUGUGAGCCUCCAACAGGACCACAAGUGACAAGCAGAAUCUGCACAAGCAGGGAGGAAGGGGAUGGGCAUGUGGGCUCUGAUGUAAGUGAGACACCCGCAGCACACCGGUGCCCUUCUCACCGUCCAGGCACCUUUACAGCCGGUAUCAGGACAUUGUGAGACAAGUGCAACUGCCCUGCACCUGCCUGGCUCUUGUGUGCACUCCUUCCCUUCUCUGGGCCUUGGUCCGUGCUGCUCACUCCACCCAUGCCCCUUUGGUUAAGUGGCUCCCAAGAGACACUCUGGACACUCAGAUCCUUUCUACCCUCUCUUGAGAAGUGGAGCUGUCCUUCCCUGGGCUGCUGGACAAACUUCAGGGUCCCUUCAGGCUGCCGGUUUCCUGGACUCCCCACUGUGGUGCUCCCCUUUGGCCAGCCCCAGCUGGAGACUUGUCACCACUCUUCCUGUUGGCAUGCCCCAAACUCCAGAGCAGCACACAUAGCUGUCCUGCACCCCCUCCCUCUGUUCCUUUCACUCAGCCAGCCAGCUUGCCUGUUAGCCAGGAGCUGGCAUCCUGAAAAAAACCAACCAACUAACCAACCCCAAGUCUGCUCGCUUCCCUUGCCAAGACCUUUACAGUUAAUAAAGAGCUUUUAGUAACUGCUCACUAAGUGCCCGGCACCAUCCCAAACAGCUGUGUGUGUGUUGCUUCAUCAGAUCUUCCUCAAGAGACCUUGAAACAGGGCGAGUGCCACCUACACUUUACCCACCAGGAAGCCAUGGCUCCAAGAAGCGAUGAAACCUAUGUCAUUUUCCAAGUGAAGUGGGUAGCAUGAAGCCAGACACACUGGCUCUCCUGUGUCUGCCAAGGCCUCCGAGAUCCAACCCCGUAGCCUCAGGCUCCCCGUAAGGCCCUCCACCAUCAACCCUUGGGUUAGUUCUCUAGUCUUGACUUCCCACGUGGCCUCACAGCACACUCUGACCACUGGAGCAGACAAGGGGCAGUGGCCGGAUGUCCUCUGCCUUGCCCCCGCCACUGUGCUGUUGCGUAUCUGGGUUCUCUACCUGAAAUGCCAGCCCUUGCCAUCUCCGUUUGUCAAUCCACCCUUUAAACACUGCCUAUUCCUCAAGGUUUUGCAAUACGCUCUGUCACCUCAUUGUCAUCCAAAUUAAUUUCUGCCAUUUCCACAUAUAUCUGUCAUAUCUCUUUCACAGUGCAUCUCUCUUAUUUUGCCAUUAUUUGGGGAUAGUUAUUUUAUCAUCAAUCCAUGACAGGCAGAAAGCAGGUUUUGUUCUUAGUGAGUUCCACCCAGGCAUUUAGAUCAGUGCCCUGCAUGUAGGAGCCACUCACGAAAUGUUAGCAGAGUUAGCUGAAUGGCCACCAAAUCUACUUUCUCGAAACACCUUUCCACAACAGCCCACCUAAAGGGCUUGGAAUGUCCACCAGUAGAGUCAUUCCUCUGAUCUAAAAUCUUGCCUCCAGAAUGUCUCUGCUGAAAUGGGAGGAUUAACUCAUCAGAACCUUGGGUUAUUAGUAACUCAACCACUAAAGUUAAACCAUUAGUUGGUCUGGAAUGAAUGGACUUGUUUUCCAAGGUAAGCAAUGCCUCAUUUUUCACUGUGGACACACUUGAGGAACUGCUCCAAUCUACUUCUUUCAGAGUUAAAUGAUUCCCAAGUAGUUGUGGGCUUCCAGUCCAUUCCCUGUGAUAAUUCAAUAGCUAUUUACAGAGGACAAAUGAUCUUUCUGGUUCUGGAGGUGACAUGAGUGGAAUGGGGGGACACAACACUCCUGGGGUUCUGGCCACGAAGCUUGCUGUAUCCCACUCAAAAGCCCUUGUGCAGAAACCCUGCAAUGGAGGAGAGAGUGCAAAAGAACUCCAGCGAGCUGAAUGUUGUCUUUCAAAUUUAUGUCCACCUAAAACCUCAGAACAUGACCUUUUUUGGAAACAGGUUCAUUGUAGAUGUAAUUAAGUUAAGAUGGACAUCAAACUGGAUUAAGGUGUCCUCAAAUCCAAUGACUGGUGUCUUUGUAAGAAGAGAAGAGGACAUGUCCACCCACGGAGUAGAAUAUGUGGAGAUGGGGCAGAAAUGGGAGGUACUCAGUUACAAGCCAAGGAAUGUCAAGUCUUGCCCACAGCUACCAGGAACUAGGGGAGAAACAUGGGACAGAUGCUCCCUUGGAGCCUCCAGAAAGAACCAAUCUUGCCAACACCUUGAUUUUGUGCUUCUAGCCUCCAGAACUGUGUGAGAAUAAAUUCCUGCUGUUUUAAGCCACCAAAUUUGUCAUGGCAGCCUGAGGAAACUAGUAUAGGAAUCAACAUGUACAUGGGGCCCCUGGGUGGCUCAGUCGGUUAAGUGUCCAAUUUCGGCUCAGGUCAUGAGCUUGUGGUUCAUGAGUUUGAACCCCACAUCAGGUUGUCGCGCAAAGCCUACUUCAGAUCUUUUGCCCCCUUUUCUCUCUGCCCCUCCCCCUCAUGCCAUCUCUGUC